AUUCCCUAAAGGCUCCCUAAAGACCGCUACCUCCCGGGGUUUCUGGAUGACCCUGGGGAUGCGGUUGGAAAGUAGGCCAUGGAUGCCUGCAGAGCGUAGUCAACAACUUGCACUGCAUCCACGGGGCAUACGCGGACAUGUGCAACGAGUGUCGGUGUGCCAAGGGACCGAAUGAAUCGUGUGGAGGGGCUUGGGGUGAACAUGGCAGAUGCAUAACAAAGUAUCGUUGCUUUAUUGAAAACAAGCCGCAUUCAAUAGGCAGAUGUGUGAACAGCGUCGGUGGCUAAAUAUAAAUUCAUAUUACAUAGGCUGAAUAUUCCUAUGUUGUGUAGAGGUAUUUAAGAUUAAAUUAUCAAAAGUA
rnacentral:lncRNA from 1 species